rnacentral:lncRNA from 1 species
UCGGCAUCUUCCUCUUCUAUACCUGCACCAACUAUCGCUUUAGCUUCACUUGGAGGGGUUGCAGCUCAAACCCUGUCCGGGCUCAGACCCACCUAUCUAAUCUCAAGGCUCACCUCAGCCUCCUCAUAGGUAUCUCGAUCCUCUCUUGCUAUAAACAACCCAUCUGAUAUGAUCUUCCCAGAGUCACGGCUCUCUGGUGCUUGCACAUCACGCAUGGAUCUAUGCUGUGCAUUACUAUCGCUAGUGCUAGAAUCUGAUACCUAUCUUUACAUUCCUCAGCUCUGAACCUAUGCCAAACCAUCCUCCACAUGUAGAGACACC